rnacentral:misc_RNA from 1 species
GAUGAAGAACGCAGCGAAAUGCGAUAAGUAAUGUGAAUUGCAGAAUUCAGUGAAUCAUCGAAUCUUUGAACGCACCUUGCACCCUUUGGCAUUCUGAAGGGUAUGCUCGUUUGAGUGUCAUUGUACUCUCACACUCCCGAUCUUUGCAUUGGGAGCAGUGGACUUGGGUUUGCUGCUUCACCGUCGCUUACCUCAAAUAGGUUAGUGCAACUCUUGGUUGGACAUAGUACGGCGUGAUAAGUGUUCUUCGCCGGUGCCUCGCAAAGAGGGUGGCCGAUCGGGAUGUUGUGCUCCAAACCGUCUUCGGACAAUCUCUGACGACUUGACCCCAAAUCGAGUAAGACUACCCGCUGAACUUAAGCAUAUCAAUAAGCGGAGGA